rnacentral:rRNA from 1 species
AGUCGAACGGCAGCACGGGAGCAAUCCUGGUGGCGAGUGGCGAACGGGUGAGUAAUACAUCGGAACGUGUCCUGUAGUGGGGGAUAGCCCGGCGAAAGCCGGAUUAAUACCGCAUACGCUCUGCGGAGGAAAGCGGGGGAUCCUUCGGGACCUCGCGCUACAGGGGCGGCCGAUGGCAGAUUAGCUAGUUGGUGGGGUAAAGGCCUACCAAGGCGACGAUCUGUAGCUGGUCUGAGAGGACGACCAGCCACACUGGGACUGAGACACGGCCCAGACUCCUACGGGAGGCAGCAGUGGGGAAUUUUGGACAAUGGGCGCAAGCCUGAUCCAGCAAUGCCGCGUGUGUGAAGAAGGCCUUCGGGUUGUAAAGCACUUUUGUCCGGAAAGAAAACCGCCUGGCUAAUAUCCGGGCGGGAUGACGGUACCGGAAGAAUAAGCACCGGCUAACUACGUGCCAGCAGCCGCGGUAAUACGUAGGGUGCAAGCGUUAAUCGGAAUUACUGGGCGUAAAGCGUGCGCAGGCGGUUCGCUAAGACAGAUGUGAAAUCCCCGGGCUUAACCUGGGAACUGCAUUUGUGACUGGCGGGCUAGAGUAUGGCAGAGGGGGGUAGAAUUCCACGUGUAGCAGUGAAAUGCGUAGAGAUGUGGAGGAAUACCGAUGGCGAAGGCAGCCCCCUGGGCCAAUACUGACGCUCAUGCACGAAAGCGUGGGGAGCAAACAGGAUUAGAUACCCUGGUAGUCCACGCCCUAAACGAUGUCAACUGGUUGUCGGGCCUUCAUUGGCUUGGUAACGUAGCUAACGCGUGAAGUUGACCGCCUGGGGAGUACGGUCGCAAGAUUAAAACUCAAAGGAAUUGACGGGGACCCGCACAAGCGGUGGAUGAUGUGGAUUAAUUCGAUGCAACGCGAAAAACCUUACCUACCCUUGACAUGUACGGAAGUCCGCUGAGAGGUGGAUGUGCCCGAAAGGGAGCCGUAACACAGGUGCUGCAUGGCUGUCGUCAGGUCGACCUC